rnacentral:lncRNA from 1 species
GAAUCGUACAGCAGCCACCACGGGCAGGCUGCCAGUCCGUGGAGACAGGAGGCAGCGCAGAGUUGCUGGGGCCAUCCGGCUGGAUUAGCAGACGUCUUAAGAGCUAUAACAAGAAAAUUGCUAGAACGGGACAAGAAAUCAGAUCACCGGAUAAAGCUGACACUCAAAGUUCAUAUUUUCAUCGUUUCCAUAAAUGCAGUGGAUCAAUCUGCUUUGGGCCCAGCAAGAUCGGUCCCUGUGAUGCCCAGACCGUGCGGCAUCCUUGAAGGCCACGGCACGCACGUCCACCUCCACCGCGUCUAACCGGGAGUCCGUGUGCCCCGGAGGCAUGCCAUCUUCCCUCGUAUCUUGUUGGUCACCUCUCGGGUGACACACUUGAGGUACCUGGAAGUUUGCACUCAUAUCCGAAUUUCUCUUAAUCAGUCUCUGCUUCAUUUUAUCCGUUGCUGAAACACAAACGCUAAUUAUUAUCUCCCUGCUUACUAAAAGGAGCUUGUGCGUAUUCUGUCUUUACGCAGACCAUCUAGACAGAUA